GACGAACGCUGGCGGCGUGCUUAACACAUGCAAGUCGAACGGUGAAGGGGUCUGCUUUUGUGGGCCCUGGAUGAGUGGCGAACGGGUGAGUAACACGUGAGUAACCUGCCCCCUUCUUCUGGAUAACCGCAUGAAAGUGUGGCUAAUACGGGAUAUUCUGGGUCUGUCGCAUGAUGGGUCUGGGAAAGAUUGGGCCUUUGGGUGUUUUUGGUGGGGGAUGGGCUCGCGGCCUAUCAGCUUGUUGGUGGGGUGAUGGCCUACCAAGGCGGUGACGGGUAGCCGGCCUGAGAGGGUGGACGGUCACACUGGGACUGAGACACGGCCCAGACUCCUACGGGAGGCAGCAGUGGGGAAUAUUGCACAAUGGGCGCAAGCCUGAUGCAGCGACGCCGCGUGAGGGAUGGAGGCCUUCGGGUUGUAAACCUCUUUCGCCAGUGAAGCAGGCCUGCUCCUUGUGGGUGGGUUGACGGUAGCUGGAUAAGAAGCGCCGGCUAACUACGUG
rnacentral:rRNA from 1 species